GAGCACGUAGGUGGGUUUGUAAGUCAGAUGUGAAAGCCUUCUGUUCAACGGAAGAAUUGCAUCUGAAACUGCGAGUCUUGAGUGUAGGAGGGGAGAAUGGAACUUCUGGUGGAGCGGUGAAAUGCGUAGAUAUCAGAAGGAACGCCGGCGGCGAAAGCGAUUCUCUGGCCUAUUACUGACACUCAGUGUGCGAAAGCUAGGGGAGCAAACGGGAUUAGAUACCCCGGUAGUCCUAGCCGUAAACGAUGGGCACUAAGUAGAGGGAAUUACCGAUAUUCUCUCUGCCGUAGCUAACGCAUUAAGUGCCCCGCCUGGGGAGUACGGCCGCAAGGCUAAAACUCAAAAGAAUUGACGGGGGCUCGCACAAGCGGUGGAGCAUGUGGCUUAAUUCGAUGCAACGCGAAAAACCUUACCGGGGCUUGACAUGGUAGAAGUAGGAACCCGAAAGGGUAACGAACGGUGUCCAGUCCGUAACUAUUACAGGUGUUGCAUGGCUGUCGUCAGCUCGUGUCGUGAGACGUUGGGUUAAGUCCCCUAACGAGCGAAACCCUUGUUUUUAGUUGCCAGCGGGUUAUGCCGGGCACUCUAGAAAGACUGCCGUCGUCAAGACGGAGGAAGGUGGGGACGACGUCAAGUCAUCAUGGCCCUUAUGCCCCGGGCUGCACACGUGCUACAAUGGCCGGUACAAACGGAAGCGAAGCCGAGAGGUGAAGCGAAUCC
rnacentral:rRNA from 1 species